GCGAGCGAGAAUAGCUAAUUCACACCCUUAGAAUCUGAAGCUUGUUGGAGAAUGCAAUGGCAACCCAAUCAGGCUGGGAUGAGGACCACUGAAGCUGCUCGAUUUCUGCACCUGCAGUAUAAGCCAGAAUUGGAUCCAAUCCACCUUCUAUUGGCUGACCCAUUGAAGAGAGAUCCCAGAUAAGCGCCUGUGAGUCGUCACCAGCAGUACAAAUAUGGCAAGAGCUGUGAGGAGCCCAGGCAAUGGCAUUCACACUAGCCUGGUGCCUCUGUAGUUCCACCACCGGCAGUGUCGGGAAACGGAUGUCCAAAACUACAACCUUUGCACUGUCCAUUAUUAUGGUGGCCAUAUACCUAGGAUCCUGCUUGUUCCAUCCAAGGCGUACAAGAGGAGUAUCAGGCUCAGAACUCUCAUAGAUUAUCGUAGAGUGCUCCUUAUCACGAAGAUCAAAAACCCUAACAGACCCAUCAGCUGAAACAGAAGCAAAAACUCCAACCCCACCCCAAGCAAUAUCAUAAACCUCCUUAUCAUGAGCAAUUAACUGGGUAUCGACAGUCUCCCUCUCAAUAUCCCAUAUAGUACAGGUAGUAUCAAUACUCGACGUACCAAUCCGCCUCGGCUCAGCUUCAUUCCAGUCAAAUGAGGUUAACGGACCGGAAAACUCACUGUUCCGGUUGUUAUUAAGAAGACUCUUCAUGUCAACCCGACUAUUAUCAUUGGAGACUCGCCAAAUCCUGAGAUAAUCACUAGAGGUAGCGAUAAGGUCCGGCUUCUGGCACUCCUUAUCGGGUAUGAAGAUAACUUUCGUAGGCGGAUACGGGUGCUCAAAUGAGAGUUUCGGGUCGGACCGAAUCUCACCAUUAGAGUCAUCAAGCUGCACAAUCUCAACUCGGUUUUGGUACUGCUCGAGCAAGCUAGCAAUGGCGAGACGAUACUUCUUAUCCUUGCGAACACUCCAAUUCAUAGCGUAUAUGUGCCAUGGAGCCUCGUAGGUGUAGAUCUCGGAGCGUCUCUGCUGUUCGUCGGAACCAUCUUGCUGGUUCGGAUCACUGCUUGCUCCCAUUUCUGAUUUCUUCUUCUU
rnacentral:misc_RNA from 1 species